ACUGUGUGUUGUUGGGUAGGGGAGCGUUCUGUAAGCCUGUGAAGGUGUGUCGUGAGGCAUGCUGGAGGUAUCAGAAGUGCGAAUGCUGACAUAAGUAACGAUAAAGCGGGUGAAAAGCCCGCUCGCCGGAAGACCAAGGGUUCCUGUCCAACGUUAAUCGGGGCAGGGUGAGUCGACCCCUAAGGCGAGGCCGAAAGGCGUAGUCGAUGGGAAACGGGUUAAUAUUCCCGUACUUGGUGUUACUGCGAAGGGGGGACGGAGAAGGCUAUGUUGGCCGGGCGACGGUUGUCCCGGUUUAAGCGUGUAGGUGUGUGUUCCAGGUAAAUCCGGUUCACUUUAACACUGAGGCGUGACGACGAGGCACUACGGUGCUGAAGCAACAAAUGCCCUGCUUCCAGGAAAAGCCUCUAAGCAUCAGGUAACAUCAAAUCGUACCCCAAACCGACACAGGUGGUCAGGUAGAGAAUACCAAGGCGCUUGAGAGAACUCGGGUGAAGGAACUAGGCAAAAUGGUGCCGUAACUUCGGGAGAAGGCACGCUGACACGUAGGUGAAGUGAUUUACUCAUGGAGCUGAAGUCAGUCGAAGAUACCAGCUGGCUGCAACUGUUUAUUAAAAACACAGCACUGUGCAAACACGAAAGUGGACGUAUACGGUGUGACGCCUGCCCGGUGCCGGAAGGUUAAUUGAUGGGGUCAGCGCAAGCGAAGCUCCUGAUCGAAGCCCCGGUAAACGGCGGCCGUAACUAUAACGGUCCUAAGGUAGCGAAAUUCCUUGUCGGGUAAGUUCCGACCUGCACGAAUGGCGUAAUGAUGGCCAGGCUGUCUCCACCCGAGACUCAGUGAAAUUGAACUCGCUGUGAAGAUGCAGUGUACCCGCGGCAAGACGGAAAGACCCCGUGAACCUUUACUAUAGCUUGACACUGAACAUUGAGCCUUGAUGUGUAGGAUAGGUGGGAGGCUUUGAAGCGUGGACGCCAGUCUGCGUGGAGCCGACCUUGAAAUACCACCCUUUAAUGUUUGAUGUUCUAACGUGGACCCGUGAUCCGGGUUGCGGACAGUGUCUGGUGGGUAGUUUGACUGGGGCGGUCUCCUCCUAAAGAGUAACGGAGGAGCACGAAGGUUGGCUAAUCCUGGUCGGACAUCAGGAGGUUAGUGCAAUGGCAUAAGCCAGCUUGACUGCGAGCGUGACGGCGCGAGCAGGUGCGAAAGCAGGUCAUAGUGAUCCGGUGGUUCUGAAUGGAAGGGCCAUCGCUCAACGGAUAAAAGGUACUCCGGGGAUAACAGGCUGAUACCGCCCAAGAGUUCAUAUCGACGGCGGUGUUUGGCACCUCGAUGUCGGCUCAUCACAUCCUGGGGCUGAAGUAGGUCCCAAGGGUAUGGCUGUUCGCCAUUUAAAGUGGUACGCGAGCUGGGUUUAGAACGUCGUGAGACAGUUCGGUCCCUAUCUGCCGUGGGCGCUGGAGAACUGAGGGGGGCUGCUCCUAGUACGAGAGGACCGGAGUGGACGCAUCACUGGUGUUCGGGUUGUCAUGCCAAUGGCACUGCCCGGUAGCUAAAUGCGGAAGAGAUAAGUGCUGAAAGCAUCUAAGCACGAAACUUGCCCCGAGAUGAGUUCUCCCUGAGACUUUAGGUCUCCUGAAGGAACGUUGAAGACGACGACGUUGAUAGGCCGGGUGUGUAAGCGCAGCGAUGCGUUGAGCUAACCGGUACUAAUGAACCGUGAGGCUUAACCUUACA
rnacentral:rRNA from 1 species